GGAGAGAUCAAAUGUUUUUUCCAAAAAAAAGAAGAGACAGCAGCGGCGCACAUAGAGUAAAAAGGAAAAUGAGAGCUCUUCUCUAAUCAGACCCCUGUAAAAAAAACAACACCCUUUAGCUCCAUUAUUCUUCUUUUUGAUUUCCCAAAAAUCACGCAAAAAAAGAACCCAACAGUUCUUUAAUAAUGAGAACCCAGUAGCUCUCAAAUUUCUCCAUUUUUUACUGUCUGUUGAAAAGAGUUGUAUGGUUAUAAGGAUAGUAGCCAUUUUUAGCUUCAUCCUAAGAGAAAUAGAAACAGCCACCUAUCUCUAACCUCACUCAAAAAUAAAAAAAAAUUCAAAAAAAAAAGAAGUCGAUCAAAAAUAUAUAUAUAAUCAGAAGCACGCUUGAAGAUUUUGAAAAGGUAGAUUCGAAACUAAAAAAAAGGUUUAGCUGGGUUGGAAACACUCUGUUUUUGCUGCUGCUUCGGAACCCCAUCAAUGGUAUUGUGGCAUGUGUUUGGUCCAUGCCCGUUGAUUCUCUGCGAUUAGACUUACAACAGCCAUGAUAAAGUUGUGUACCUGGUAGAGGAACAGAAACGGAGUAGAAAAGAAGUCAGCAGCAGUAGCAGUAGCACAACAACAUAUUCAUCAACACAACAACACAGCCACAAACACCCAGUGACAGAUUUUUAAAACCAAACAGAAACCCAGGACGUUCAAUGAAACAGCAACAGGUCACUCAAGUGCAGGCCAACAAAACCAGUUUGGAAAAACAACCAGCAAUAUCAAAUAAUGAACAGACCAGUGAAGCUGUAACAAUGCUGUAUUCAACAACAAAGCAAAGACCUCUCUUUUCAGUUUCUAUCUCUCAAUCUACUGAAAAUAACUGUAAGAAAAGCAGCCUAGAACAACAGAUCUCUAACUCUGGACAUUUUCGAUUCAAAAUCCAGCCUAUCUCACACUCAAUAUACUCUGACUUUCAAGAUUUAAAA